GAUGAAGAACGCAGCGAAAUGCGAUACUUGGUGUGAAUUGCAGAAUCCCGUGAACCAUCGAGUCUUUGAACGCAAGUUGCGCCCGAAGCCACUAGGCCGAGGGCACACCUGCCUGGGCGUCACACGCCGUUGCCCCCCCAUCUACUCCUUCGGGAUUGCGGGGGGGCGGAUGAUGGCCUCCCGUGCGCCUAGCCGCGCGGUUGGCAUAAAUACCAAGUCCUCGGCGACGCACGCCACGACAAUCGGUGGUUGCGAAACCUCGGUUGCCCGUCGUGUGCGUUCGUCGCGCAUCGAGGGCUCGAAAAAAUGCUCGGCUCCGGCUGGGCUUUCAACGCGACCCCAGGUCAGGCGGGGUUACCCGCUGAAUUUAAGCAUAUCAAUAAGCGGAGGA
rnacentral:misc_RNA from 1 species